UUCAACUGAAAGUGAAGAUGUUAUCUUUUCUUCCCAGGCUCCUUGUAAUGAGCAAACUGCAUUAAGCUAUGAAGGUGUAAAGACAGAUACAGAAAAAAGUCCACUGCUUACAACUUGGCAAAAACGUUUCACUUCUGAAAAGAAUCAUAGAAAACUGUCCCUUUUCAGUAAAAUAAAAUCAUUAAAAAACAUCCAAAAGAAGACAUCUGUGAAAGAAACAAGUGACAUUAGUGAUGAGUCUGAAGAUAUUGAAAUGUCACUACUGCCCAUAUCAGGAAUGCAGAAAACUACCAGCACUGUGAAACACAAGCACUUCCAUGCGAAGGAGCUUGAUAACUCUUCCAGAACUGUUUUUCAGGGAAACAAUGCAAGCAUGGGAGGAAAUAAUGCUGACUCUCAAAAUAUUGAGGAAUUUUCAUCAUCAGAAGACAAUGUAGCAAUUAGGAAGGUUGAUGUUAAUAAUCAAAGGGUAAAAAGUAAUAGGUGUAGCCUUCACUUCGAAUCCAGAUUAGCAAGAUAUGGUAACCAUACCUCUGUUACACUGCGAAAACGAACUAAUUCCAAUCUAUCUCAGACCUCUUUCAGCAAGCAAACAUUUACAAGACAAGGAGAAAAACGGGGAUCGUUGGAUAGCCUUCUUGGUGAUGUUGCUGAAGUCUCAUAUGUUCAUUCAAACCAAAAUGUGGUUGGUUCAAGCAAGGCUGAAAAUCAGAUGAGUCGUUGGGCAGUACGAGAUGUGUUCGAACUGCAGCAGUUUUCUCAACUCCCUGCAAAUGUAGCAGUGUACAGUCCCAAGAAAAACAGACAGAAUCCAGAACAAGUUAUAUCAAGAUGGAAGAGUGCCAGGAAGCAUCAUUCAGUAAGUGAAACCAGCAGUCCCUCUGUUCUUUAUAUUACGCAUCCUAUACACCAGAAGGAGAAGAGGGUCCACCGAAUAGGCUCAUUUACAUUCCUGAUUGGAAAGACACCCAAAAGAAUCCGCAGGAGACAGUUUGAAGAAAUGGCAUCUCAUUUCAGUAUGGCUUCAGUGGAUGAACUCGCAAAGCAUAUCGCCAUGGCAACAUCAGAAGAGAGGCAGAAAAUGUUGAAAGAAUUUUAUGGUGCAAAGUAUCCAGAGCUAAAGGACUUAUUAAAAAUUGAUGUUCCAGUUUUGGUUCAAGAAAGAAGCAUGGAAGGAGAUGUGCGCACAACUCAGUCCAGGAAAAGAAAGCCUGUUAAUAAAGAUGGAAAAUCAAAGCCUGGUCCUCCUGCUGCUCAGGUUCCUCUUUGUAGAACUGUAGAUCUGUGUGGCCAAAAAAGACAUAAAGUAGAAACAAAGCAGUUUCCAUAUGAUCCCUGCAUACAUACUGCUAUGUGUCAUAAAGUUGAAGAUAAACAAUUGCCCACUGUCAUUACCAAAGAUAGCAUUAGUGGGAGAAACAGCCAGGCAUUCAAAGAUUUUAUGGCAUCUGACUCAUUAAGCAAUAAAUCAGGAAUAAUUGAGGGGCUGUCUGCAAAUACCACUAAAGGACAGCAGAAUUUGAAAGGGACAGACUCACCAAGAAAACCCUCUCUGUCUCAGUCAGAAAGCAGACAGGCUCAAAUAUGCAAGAAAAACUCUUUUGCAGAUGUACUAGGGGACACCUCUAUUUUAAAUGACCUCUUCAAAAGUAAUGGAAAUAGGCCAAGGGAGCCUCCCAAGAGCUUUCCUUCAGGCCGUGUUGAAAAAGCAAAAACCCGACCAAAGGACUUCUGGGAUAUGCUGAAUGAGCAAAAUGAGGAUAGCCUCCAAAAACUCACAGACAUGUCAACUAUAGAGAAAUUGUGUGAAAGAGCGCCUCAUGUCAUUUUGUCAAAGAAAAAGGAAGAGGAAGAGAAGUCACUUUGGGGAAAAAAUGACAAUUUUUUAUGGAAGAAAUGUAACACAAACAAUUUGGAUGAUUAAUCUACUUAU